rnacentral:rRNA from 1 species
UUAGAGUUUGAUCCUGGCUCAGCGCGAACGCUGGCGGCGUGCCUAACACAUGCAAGUCGUGCGGAGGGGUGAUGAGCCCCUCAGCGGCAAACGGGUGAGUAACACGUGAGUAACCUACCCUUGGGAAGGGGAUAACCCUCCGAAAGGAGGGCUAAUACCCUAUACUGCCGGGGACCACUAAGGUCUUCCGGUGAAAGGUGGCCUCUGCUCUGCAUGCUACCGCCCAAGGAGGGGCUCGCGGCCCAUCAGGUAGUUGGUGGGGUAACGGCCUACCAAGCCUAUGACGGGUAGCCGGCCUGAGAGGGUGGUCGGCCACAGUGGGACUGAGACACGGCCCACACCCCUACGGGGGGCAGCAGUGGGGAAUCGUGGGCAAUGGGCGAAAGCCUGACCCCGCGACGCCGCGUGGAGGAAGAAGCCCUUCGGGGUGUAAACUCCUGUCGGGGGGGACGAUGUGUCUUGGGGUGAAUAAUCCCAGGGCAUGACGGUACCCCCAGAGGAAGGGACGGCUAACUACGUGCCAGCAGCCGCGGUAAUACGUAGGUCCCGAGCGUUGCGCGAAUUCACUGGGCGUAAAGCGUCCGCAGCCGGACGGGUAAGCGGUGCGUCAAAGCCCACCGCUCAACGGUGGAACGGCGUACCGAACUGCCUGUCUUG